rnacentral:misc_RNA from 1 species
GGAAAAGAGUACACUUCGAGUGAAUUUGAUAAAUUCUAUGAGGAAGCAGGAAUUGAGCAUCAACUUUCAGUGCCUUACUCACCACAACAGAAUGGAGUUUCUGAGAGGAAGAACAUAACAGUUGUUGAGAUGGCUAGGUGUAUGCUGAAAGAGAAAGAGCUACCAAAGAUGUUUUGGGCUGAGGCUGUUUACACAGCUGUGUACUUUUUGAACAGACUUCCUACUAGAGCAGUGGAAAGAAAAACUCCAGUUGAAGCAUGGCUUGGAUCAAAGCCUUCUGCAAGUCACUUAAAGGUCUUUGGAUCAAUAUGCUACAUGCUUGUUCCUGAUGUUAAGAGAAUCAAGCUGGAUGAUAAAGCAGAAUUGGGCAUCUUUCUGGGUUAUGCAGCCACAUCCAAGGGUUACAGAAUUUACAAUGUGAAAACAAAGAAGGUGGUUGUUAGUAGAGAUGUCAAAUUUGAUGAAGGAGCCUACUGGGACUUUGAAAAAGAGCAGGUUGUUGGAGUAACAAAUUCAGUUCAGCAAAGAGUUGAUUUAGAAAGUUCUAGCAAUGAAUGUGUUGAGUCUGAAAAAGACUACAACUCUGAUGGUGAAGCACAUGUUCCUAAGUUCAAGUCUCUUUCAGAGAUUUAUGAAAGUUGUAAUUUAGUUGUGUCAAAACCUAACAGCUAUGAAGAAGCUUCACAAGUUGAAGAAUGGCAACAUGCUAUGAAGGAAGAAAUUGCAGCAAUUGAGAAGAAUGGAACUUGGUAAUUGACUUCCAAACCAAAAGGAAAAAAUGUAAUUGGUGUAAAAUGGGUUUACAGAACUAAAGUUAAUCCUGAUGGUUCUAUUUUUAGAUAUAAAGCUAGACUUGUUGUUAAGGGUUAUGCUCAACAACCAGGGGUGGAUUAUGGAGAUACAUUUGCUCCAGUUGCUAGGCAUGAUACUGUUAAAUUAUUGUUGUCUUUAGCAGCUCAAAGAGAAUGGCAAGUGUUUCACUUAGAUGUCAAAUCUGCAUUUUUGAAUGGUUUGUUAACUGAAGAAAUUUAUGUGCAGCAACCUGAAGGAUUUGAGGUGCAAGGUCAAGAAGACAAAGUGUAUAAGCUGAAAAAGGCUCUUUAUGGCCUGAAGCAAGCUCCUAAAGCUUGGUACACAAGGAUUGACUCACAUUUGAUCCAAAAUGGAUUCAAGAGGAGUGAGAAUGAACCAACCUUGUAUGUGAGUGGUGAUGGAGAUGACUUUCAACUAAUAGUGUCACUAUAUGUUGAUGAUAUAUUAGUGACAAGUGGAAAUUUUCAGUUAUUGAAUGAUUUUAAACUGAAAAUGCAAACUGAGUUUGAAAUGUCUGAUUUGGGGAGUAUGAGUUACUUUCUUGGUCUAGAAAUUGAGCAAGUUACUGAAGGAAUCUUUGUCUCUCAAAGAAAUUAUGCUCUUGAAAUAUUGAAAAGGUUCAAUAUGGAUAAAUGCAAAUCUGUUGCAAUUCCUCUAGUUGUGAAUGAGAAACUUAGCAAGGAAGAUGGAGCUGAGAAAGCAGAUGCUUCAAUGUAUAGAAGUUUAGUUGGUAGUCUGCUAUACUUGACUGCAUCAAGACCUCAUUUAAUGUAUUCAACUAGCUUAUUAUCCAGAUUUAUGCAUUCACCAAGUCAAGUGCAUUUAGUUGCUGCUAAGAGAGUGUUGAGAUACUUGAAAGGUACUGCUGAUUAUGGUAUAUGGUUUCUAAAAGGAAGAUCUGUCAAACUUGAAGGCUAUGUGGAUAGUGAUUGGGCUAGGUGUGUUGAUGAUUCAAAGAGCACAUCAGGCAAUGUUUUUUUUCUGGGUUCAGGUCCUUUCUCUUGGAAUUCUAAGAAACAAGAGGUGGUGGCUCAAUCUACUGCAAAAGCUGAAUAUAUUUCAGCUGCUGCUGCUGCUGCUGCAAACCAAUCAAUUUGGCUUAGGAAGCUGUUGAAAGAUUUGGGAAUAGAGCAAUGUGAGCCUACGGUUAUUUGGUGUGAUAACAAAUUUGCAAUUGCCAUUGCAAAUAAUCCUGUUCAGCAUGGAAGAACUAAGCACAUCAAGGUGAAGUUUCAUUUCCUGAAGGAGGUUGAAAAGAAUUCAGAGAUUAAGCUGCUGCAUUGUAGGUCUGAGGAACAACUUGCUGAUAUACUUACUAAAGCUUUGACCAAGAAUAGGUUUGAAGAGCUGAGGAAAAAGCUUGGAGUAUCAAGGAAAAAUCUCAAGGAGGAGUGUUGACUGAAAUGUGAUUUUUUC